rnacentral:tRNA from 1 species
GGGCCGGUAGUUAAACCUGGUUAUAACGCCCGCUUUGCAAGCGGGAGGCUGCGGGUUCAAAUCCCGUCCGGUCCA